AAACUGAAGAGUUUGAUCAUGGCUCAGAUUGAACGCUGGUGGCAGGCUUAACACAUGCAAGUCGAACGGUAACGGGUUGAAAGCUUGCUUUCGACGCUGACGAGUGGCGGACGGGUGAGUAAUGCUUGGGAAUCUGGCUUAUGGAGGGGGAUAACCAUUGGAAACGAUGGCUAAUACCGCAUAGAAUCGGAAGAUUAAAGGGUGGGACUUUUUGCCACCUGCCAUAAGAUGAGCCCAAGUGGGAUUAGGUAGUUGGUGGGGUAAAGGCCUACCAAGCCUGCGAUCUCUAGCUGGUCUGAGAGGAUGGCCAGCCACACUGGGACUGAGACACGGCCCAGACUCCUACGGGAGGCAGCAGUGGGGAAUAUUGCGCAAUGGGGGGAACCCUGACGCAGCCAUGCCGCGUGAAUGAAGAAGGCCUUCGGGUUGUAAAGUUCUUUCAGUGGUGAGGAAGGUUGGUGUGUUAAUAGCACACUGAUUUGACGUUAGCCACAGAAGAAGCACCGGCUAACUCCGUGCCAGCAGCCGCGGUAAUACGGAGGGUGCGAGCGUUAAUCGGAAUAACUGGGCGUAAAGGGCACGCAGGCGGUAAAUUAAGUGAGAUGUGAAAUCCCCGAGCUUAACUUGGGAAUUGCAUUUCAGACUGGUUUACUAGAGUACUUUAGGGAGGGGUAGAAUUCCACGUGUAG
rnacentral:ncRNA from 1 species